UUCCGUUUACAUUAAUAGAGGGCGAAAAAUACUCUAAUGCAAUAUCAUUUCUCUUUCUUGUUCGUCUUUUUUUUGAACUAUUAUUAUUGUGUACAGCAUUAAUUUAUAACUGCUGAUUCAUGUUAUCUGCCUAUAUAUACUGCUUGCAAGAUGCUGCGAUGGUGUAUAUAUCUGAGUUAUUUUUGUUUCUGUUUUUAAAGGGAUGACAACGGACAAAUACAAGCGUACUCGUCUUUCAGUGGAGCGUAAGAAGCGUAAGCAUAUGCGUGCAAAGGAUGACAUCGGACAAAGACGAGCGUAAAAAUAUGCGCAUAAGGUAAAGACCUGGAAUCUGGUGACUGGUGUUGAACACUUUGGCGACGCACAAAUUGAAGAUGAUGCUGCCAGAACCAAGUCAAUAGGGCAACAUUUCUCAUUGAUGUGAUGAAGAUGAUGUGCUCAUGAAUAUCUAUUGAGUAAAUGAAACAUGUAAUCAUAUGCUUAUAAAUUAAAGUUUGAGAUUGAACGUCUUUUCUUUCAGUGUUUGACAUGAAAAUGGGAAAUGUACCCCCUUGGUCAA